CUUCGAAAUUUUUAUUGAGAGGGGGAAAAUCCAACAUGGCAUCCGGUAGAAUGCCAGACAAAUCAUCAGCUCCAGAAAAGUAUCAUUUUAGUGAGAAAAUCACGAGAAAAGGUUGUUAAAGUUGUUAGAAAUGCAUUUUGGAAGUGUGUUCUGUGAGAAAAUUGUGCAGAUUUUAGUGGAAUUUUGCAAAAUUAAUGUUUAUACACCAGAAAAGUGUUUGUUGUGCUUUGAAGGGGGCGUAACCUAAUAAUUUAUGUUAAGCGUUGGUCUUGGAGAAUUAUUCUUUGAAUAAUUGGACAAAAUACGAUAAAAUGAAGCCAUCAUUGCCAAUAAAAGUACCAUCUAUCUGUCUCACACUUUACUAAAGUACUUCCAAUUGGACUUCAAAUUGUCUGAAAGAGACACACAAACCAUAUGGAAUUAUAUAGAAAUUGGAAUAGAUUGCGUUGGAGUGACAGAGAUGGUGAGAGAGGGCUGAAUCCUAUGGAGACGUCUCUGUAUAAAAAAAAGUCAGAGAGUCGUAAAGUGAAGAAGUGAUAAAAAUAAUCAAAUUAUUCUCACGACAAGUGUUUCACCCGACUUAAGACGAAGGGGAGGGUUUUUUUUUGGGGGGUGAUAUAAAUUCCUGAGGAGAGCCCUUAGAAAGGAAGGAAAAUCCGUGCUGUGGAAGCCAACUGAAUUCCAACAAGUGCAUAUAAUACAUUUUCAGUAGCCAAAAAGAGCCAGAUGAGCAUGAGGUCGUGUGUUUGGUAAAAUUUUACUACUUUUUUACGAUCUUUUUAUGAGCUUUAAAACGGUUCGUUUUUCAUUACAACAAGAUAGCGGUUGGUGCAAGGGGCAAGGAGAAUGGGCCAUAUAAACAAUUCUAGUUAUACUAAUAGACAUCAAAACACUCUCCAAAAUGGAUUUUUAUGAGGUGUUUAGCCGUUUAUUUUGAUGGUUUUGGGUGGUCGUAAAAAUCAACCGUGUGGCUUUUCAACAAGACCCGUGAUUUAUGCUAUUAAAAAAGUGACAUUAUUAAUUAAUUUCCACUCAUGAUAGAGUCACUUGUUAUUUAUCGUCUCACGGCGGCUCUUUUUGACAUCACUAUAGGCCAAUUUGUAUUCUCAACCACCUAUUUUAUUGCCUCUUAAUUGUUAAACAUGCACUUUUACGAUCAAAUAAAUUUUUAUACUCAAUCAA